GACGAACGCUGGCGGCGUGCUUAACACAUGCAAGUCGAACGGAAAGGCCCUGCUUUUGUGGGGUGCUCGAGUGGCGAACGGGUGAGUAACACGUGAGUAACCUGCCCUUGACUUUGGGAUAACUUCAGGAAACUGGGGCUAAUACCGGAUAGGAGCUCCUGCUGCAUGGUGGGGGUUGGAAAGUUUCGGCGGUUGGGGAUGGACUCGCGGCUUAUCAGCUUGUUGGUGGGGUAGUGGCUUACCAAGGCUUUGACGGGUAGCCGGCCUGAGAAGGUGACCGGCCACAUUGGUACUAUGAUACAGCAGAGAGUCAUACGGGAGGCGACAGUGGGGAAUAUUGCAGAAUGGGCAGAAGCCUGAUGCGGCAACGCCGCGUGCGGGAUGACGGUCUUCGGGUUGUAAACCGCUUUCGCCUGUGACGAAGCGUGAGUGACGGUAAUGGGUAAAGAAGCACCGGCUAACUACGUG
rnacentral:rRNA from 1 species